CAGUUCGGAUUGUAGGCUGAAACUCGCCUACAUGAAGCUGGAGUUACUAGUAAUCGCAGAUCAGAAUGCUGCGGUGAAUGCGUUCCCGGGUCUUGUACACACCGCCCGUCACACCACGGAAGUUGGGGGCGCCCGAAGCCACUUAGCUAACCCUUUGGGAAGCGAGUGUCGAAGGUGAAAUCAAUAACUGGGGUGAAGUCGUAACAAGGUAUC
rnacentral:rRNA from 1 species